rnacentral:rRNA from 1 species
CAGUAGCCGCGGGAACACAGAGGGUGCAAGCGUUAAUCGGAAUUACUGGGCGUAAAGCGCGCGUAGGUAGUUUGUUAAGUUGGAUGUGAAAGCCCCGGGCUCAACCUGGGAACUGCAUCCAAAACUGGCAAGCUAGAGUACGGUAGAGGGUGGUGGAAUUUCCUGUGUAGCGGUGAAAUGCGUAGAUAUAGGAAGGAACACCAGUGGCGAAGGCGACCACCUGGACUGAUACUGACACUGAGGUGCGAAAGCGUGGGGAGCAAACAGGAUUAGAUACCCGAGUAGUCCCUGUCUCUUAUAC